GGGGGCGCGGCGUCGCGGAGCUCGGGCCGGUGGAAGGUUUACCUGCUAGGCUCGUCCCACCUGUGUGGAGCUCCCAUCGCCCUCCAGCGUUGCGCAGCCUGAAGGGACAGGACGGACAAGCGGGUGCCUCCUUCUAAUUCAUCUUCACCAUUGUGGUUGUCAAUAUGGCAUGCAGAAUUAUCCCUCUUUCCAGGUUUUCCCCAAGGACCCUGGACAAUGCUGGUUUUUCCUAUGUGCACCACCAAAGGGCCUAUCCAGCUUCUGGAGUCUACCUGGAUUCCUGGGCUCAUGGCCCCUUCCUCCAUCUUCAAACCAGCAAUGAUGGAGCUGAGCCUGACACUCUAACCGGUUCUCUGGGUGUACUGCAAAGGUCUAAUAAAAGGCACCUUUGCCCGGUUGCUUCAAUUCUAGGAAGCUGUUCAAUGUUUGACUAUAUUUCUCCAUACUCAUUUGAAAACAGUUCAUCAGGUUAGUUCAGUUGAAUUAUUGCUCCUUGGGAGUUUUCCAAACCCUGGAUUUCCUUCGGAGAGAGCUAGAUUCUAUUCCAUUCUUGGAAUUCAGCUCCUUGCCCUUCUCUGUGACCCCGGAUCGCGAAUGCAGUAAAAAUAAAAAUAUCCUGCUGCCUCCUGCACUAAGAAA
rnacentral:lncRNA from 1 species